rnacentral:rRNA from 1 species
GAUGAACGCUGGCGGCGUGCCUAAUACAUGCAAGUCGAGCGAACGGACGAGAAGCUUGCUUCUCUGAUGUUAGCGGCGGACGAGUGAGUAACACGUGGAUAACCUACCUAUAAGACUGGGAUAACUUCGGGAAACCGGAGCUAAUACCGGAUAAUAUUUUGAACCGCAUGGUUCAAAAGUGAAAGACGGUUUUGCUGUCACUUAUAGAUGGAUCCGCGCUGCAUUAGCUAGUUGGUAAGGUAACGGCUUACCAAGGCAACGAUGCAUAGCCGACCUGAGAGGGUGAUCGGCCACACUGGAACUGAGACACGGUCCAGACUCCUACGGGAGGCAGCAGUAGGGAAUCUUCCGCAAUGGGCGAAAGCCUGACGGAGCAACGCCGCGUGAGUGAUGAAGGUCUUCGGAUCGUAAAACUCUGUUAUUAGGGAAGAACAUAUGUGUAAGUAACUGUGCACGUCUUGACGGUACCUAAUCAGAAAGCCACGGCUAACUACGUG